AUUCCAGCUCCAAUAGCGUAUAUUAAAGUUGUUGCAGUUAAAACGCUCGUAGUCGGAUUUCGGGUCGGUUGCGCCGGUCUGCCGAUGGGUAUGCACUGGCGGAGUCGUCCUUUCUUCCGGAGACCGGGCCUCCUCUUAGCUGAGCGGGUUCGGGAGACGGAUCGUUUACUUUGAAAAAAUCAGAGUGUUUCAAGCAGGCAGCUCGCUCUUGCAUGGAUUAGCAUGGGAUAAUGAAAUAGGACUUUGGUGCUAUUUUGUUGGUUUCGAACACCGAAGUAAUGAUUAACAGGGACAGUCAGGGGCACUCGUAUUCCGCCGAGAGAGGUGAAAUUCUCAGACCAGCGGAAGACGAACCACUGCGAAAGCAUUUGCCAGGGAUGUUUUCAUUA
rnacentral:rRNA from 1 species